rnacentral:tRNA from 1 species
AUUUAAGUAGUUUAGAAAAACAUUACACUUUCAUUGUAAAGUCAGGGAUAAUCCUCUUAAAUA